CAAGUAUGGACUGAAACUUCCGCAAACCGUAAGAAACUUCUAAUCAGUGAGGAAGAAGGUGCACACUGAACAAGCAGUGCUCUCCCUCCCGAAGAUCAAUACCCACACCAGAAGAGCAGCACCCCUCUUGUGUGCAACCAAGCAGACGCUUGUGCACCUACCUCCCUGUCAUGAGUAAGCAGGCUCGCACAGGACAAGAGUGUCCCCUCCCCGUGUAAGCAAGUAGACCCCUUUCAGACAAGCUGUGCCCCCGACAAAAGGGUGCCACCACCCAGCGUAGUCCAAGGCAGCUCUCCAUUUGCUGCUCCUUGGCACUGGGCAGUGCAGGUGAGGACUGACCAACCUGAUCCUGGAUGACAACAAUGCCAGAAAAGAGAAGGGAGCAACCACGUCCCAGCGCUGUGGACGGUGGGGCGUCGUGGUGCACACCUGUAAUCCCAG